ensembl:lncRNA
UGGAGGUGCUGCUGCUGGAGCUCAGCCCCUGGAGGGGACAGCCGGGCAUACUUAUGGGGCUGGACUUCUGUAAGCCCUGCGGGAACGGUUUCCAAGCGGAGAGAGAUCCAGGACUGACCGGUGGCGACUGCCCCUGUACGACUGCCAACUGUGGGACCUGCGGGGACCGCUGCUGUGACGUCUUCUGCCAGGUGUGCGUGGGGGUGUGUUGCGGCCUGUGCUCGGGGGACUGUAGCUACACAUUCUGCCACCUCUGUCUGGUUGUCACGCAGGACCUAGUCAAAGUGAUCUCUGCCACAACCCCGCCGUCGGACAAGGAAGGAUAUGCCAAAUCCAAAAAAGCAUGGCUAAAAAUACCUCAAGCAGACGCUCAAGAAAUCAUUGACGCACAAGCCAAGGUUGUGCGACAUCUGUAGCAGAAGUGCGUGGCGCAGCGGUUGUCAAGGUGUUGUGGGGGGGAGAUAAGAGGCACCGGCCCCCCGACAGGAGGCAUGACCAAUCUGACAGCUGCUGGAAGCUCUGUGGUGCGUGGACCGGGGACUGUUUGAUCAGCCUGGAGUGUGGCCCCGUCCCGGCGGGGCAUCUGCCUACGCCUUCACCACGGGCGCCGAUUGGGCGUCGUGCAUGCGUGCUAAGAGUGAAGAUAGUGGCGCCCGGCCCAACUCCUGCCAUCCUGCAGCUCAUCAGCAGAACUCCACCAGAGCCACGCCAGGCGGUGCCGGCUGCGGCACCACCCAUCGCACCACCCGCUCCCGUUCGGUUUCAUGUUCAUCCAAAGGCUGGAUAAG